UUGAUCCUGGCUCAGAUUGAACGCUGGCGGCAGGCCUAACACAUGCAAGUCGAGCGGAUGAAGGGAGCUUGCUCCUGGAUUCAGCGGCGGACGGGUGAGUAAUGCCUAGGAAUCUGCCUGGUAGUGGGGGAUAACGUCCGGAAACGGGCGCUAAUACCGCAUACGUCCUGAGGGAGAAAGUGGGGGAUCUUCGGACCUCACGCUAUCAGAUGAGCCUAGGUCGGAUUAGCUAGUUGGUGGGGUAAAGGCCUACCAAGGCGACGGUCCGUAACUGGUCUGAGAGGAUGAUCAGUCACACUGGAACUGAGACACGGUCCAGACUCCUACGGGAGGCAGCAGUGGGGAAUAUUGGACAAUGGGCGAAAGCCUGAUCCAGCCAUGCCGCGUGUGUGAAGAAGGUCUUCGGAUUGUAAAGCACUUUAAGUUGGGAGGAAGGGCAGUAAGUUAAUACCUUGCUGUUUUGACGUUACCAACAGAAUAAGCACCGGCUAACUUCGUGCCAGCAGCCGCGGUAAUACGAAGGGUGCAAGCGUU
rnacentral:rRNA from 1 species